UUUAUUUACUUGCCGACCGGCUCGCUGCUACGCAUGCGCGAAACGCCGUUGCCCCUGGCAACGCACAGACGCCGUCGCCGCAGGGAGGGACGCCAUUGCUCAUUCAAAAUGCAUUAAAUUUACACGCGACGCUGAGGUGAGAUAGCUUCAACAACAUCAAGUCAUGAAUAUUGCAAUGAGCACGCUGUGCCUGAUGCUGUUCAUCGUUCACGCACAAGCACAGGAUUCAGACAAGCCUCCGCAAAAAGAAAGAAUUGAUCCGAGUAAUA